rnacentral:rRNA from 1 species
GACGAACGCUGGCGGCGUGCCUAAUACAUGCAAGUCGAGCGAGACUCUUCGGAGUCUAGCGGCGGACGGGUGAGUAACACGUGGGCAACCUGCCUGUAAGACUGGGAUAACACCGGGAAACCGGUGCUAAUACCGGAUAAUCCUUUUUCUCUCCUGAGGAAAAGCUGAAAGUCGGUUUCGGCUGACACUUACAGAUGGGCGCGCGGCACAUUAGCUAGUUGGUGAGGUAACGGCUCACCAAGGCUACGAUGCGUAGCCGACCUGAGAGGGUGAUCGGCCACACUGGGACUGAGAAACGGCCCAGACUCCUACGGGAGGCAGCAGUAGGGAAUCUUCCACAAUGGACGAAAGUCUGAUGGAGCAACGCCGCGUGAGCGAUGAAGGCCUUCGGGUCGUAAAGCUCUGUUGUUAGGGAAGAACAAGUACCGGAGUAACUGCCGGUACCUUGACGGUACCUAACCAGAAAGCCACGGCUAACUACGUGCCAGCCGCCGCGGUAA